rnacentral:lncRNA from 1 species
AAAAGUUUAAAUACUUAGUGUUCAUUCAUAAUGUGUAGUUGUAUUAUGAGCCCAAAUUGUUUAUGAUAAUUUUUACAAAGAUUCACAUUUGUCCUCAUUUAGAAUUCAUACAGAGCUUCCUGAUGUGCAGAGCUCACACCCCACUUAGGCCUUGUUUGUUAACUGAAUAAUAGUCAUUUUCUGUUGCACAACAGUUAACCGCUAAGAAAAGGCAUGGUCAGGCUAAUUCUUUGACUGUAGCUCUCUAUUCAUUUUAUGGUCACAACCAUAUUCCAUGAUCAUAGCACAUGGCCUUUGUCCUCAUAUUCCCUCCGCUUCUCUGGGUGUCUAAAUCCCUGCCUCUCUUUUAUAAGGACACUGCUUAUAAAAGGACCCAGGAUGACCUCAUCUCAAGAUCCUAAACUUAAUCCCAUCUUUCCAAACAAACUCACAUUCCCAGGUUCCAAGGAUGCCGGCCUGCACGUUAUCUCUGGGGUCACUACUUAGCCAAUUAUACCUGGUGAACUGCAGAUUGAAGUAAGGGAAAAGAAAUCACCAGAAAUAUGCAUUAAAUUGAGAAGAUCACUACCAGGGUAAUUUUAUGGACUCCCACGGCUUUAAAUCUCAUCUGUGUGCUGAUUCCAAAAGUUCUCCCUCCAGCCCAGAAC